GGGGUGAUAGCUCAGUUGGUAGAGCGCUUCGUUCGCAACGAAGAGGUCGGGAGUUCGACUCUCCUUCACUCCA
rnacentral:tRNA from 1 species